AUCUGGAUAGUUUAAAAAAAACGUUGGCUUGUGGCGCUUAAGAUGUAAAAUAUUACUCUAGGUA
rnacentral:tRNA from 1 species